AUUCCAUGGUGUGGGCAUUACAAGAUGUAUUCCUAGAAACGUUCCCAUGCCUCUACAAUGGUUUCUUUUUUCUGCUGCUAAAAGGUGUAAAUUUUUCCUCUUAGGAC
rnacentral:snoRNA from 1 species